GGGUCAGUAGGUUGGUCGUGCCACCGGUACGUACUGGUCUCACUGAUCCCUCCUUCCUGAAGAACCGUAAUGCCAUUAAUUUGGUGUUGCGGGGAAACAGGACUGUUACUUUGAAAAAAUUAGAGCGUUUAAAGCAAGCUAACGCUUGAAUACAUUAGCAUGGAAUAAUGAAAUAGGACGAUCGAUCCUAUUUUGUUGGUUUCUAGGAUUGACGUA
rnacentral:rRNA from 1 species